rnacentral:lncRNA from 1 species
CAGUGUAUGUAUACAUAUACUAUAUGUGUAUACUCGUUUUAUUACUAAAUUAUUUAAAAAUCAAAUAUUUACAAUAAUAAUAAGUUAACUCCUUGACUAAUAAAUGUAUUAAAUAUAAAGUUGAGAUUGCUUAUUUCGGUUUGCGGCAGACCUUGGUGCUGAAUAUAAUUUGUCUAUUAAUUUAAUAUUCUUAUGAGUCAUAUAAACUGCACAUCGACAAUUUUGUUAAUUUUUAAAACACAGUUAUUAGCUAGAUAUCACUUCGAAUUUAUCUAUGUUCUAUUGAGUUUAUUUAUGUUAUAACAAAAUUACAGGAAUUCUAAAUCAAGAAUGCAAUUGUAUGAGCUCAGAAAUUGUGUCAAUCCGAUAACUUGUGUCCAGUUAACGUAGCGUAAGAAGUCAUUGGAUAAAAAUUGAGAAAGUAGCAGAAAAGAAAGCGGAAACACGGAAUGGGCGGAUUAAGUAAAGGUCCCACUGCAGAAGGAGGGAAGAAGAAUUUUAUUAAAAUAUUUAAGUGCCGAAUUGCAUUAGGGAAAUGACGAUGCUAUUGUUCACCCGAAAUCUCAUUAUGACCGAGCGCUCAACCGUGCGUCAGAACCACCGCGUGCAAACUUUUCCGUGAACCUCGAAAAGAACGUAAGUCGCAUGUAAGUAGCGAUAGAAAGAGAAAAUAAAAUCGGAGUUGGUACAUCAAGAUUUUCGAAGAGAACCGCACACUUCAUAAUUUUACUACAGGUCCUUAAUGUGCUUUUCGUGUUUCUCGUCAACAGAAAUUUUCAAUUUUUAUCAUACGCACUACUUCAAUUAAUGCAUCACAGGGACGAAAUUAUAGACGCGGUCGAAAUUAUAAAGGUAUAUUAUUUUUAUUUGAAUAUCUUGACGCUUUCAAGCCAAUAAAAUGCUAAAAUUAUCGCUGUUUAUGCUACUGUCAUAAUAUGUAUGUGUAUGUGUUACAUAACUUAAUAUAUCUAUAGCCGAAUAAGAUAUCAAAUAACAAAAAAACAUUCAAAUGUAUAUAUUUGUGUAAUAACAUGUCCAAGUUAAAAAAAAAAGAAGUAAUGUGUAAUUUUACUGAAAUUAAAAAAAAAGUUUAAUGCUUAAUAAUAAAAAUGCUUUACGACAAAUGUCAAUUGCUAGUAAUCUUCAUAUUAGCACUACCGCAUGCAACUAUGACCAACUUAAUAAAUAAUUCCGUAAGUAAUUAUUAGAAUUUCCUAAUAGCGGAGAUAUUACGAGGGGAUAUUAUCACAAAUGUACCAUAAGUACAUAAUACUUACAAAAACCAUUCCAUCAUCCUUCUAUUAUUUAAACACUAGAAUCCGCUAUGACUAUUAUUAGCCCUUUCUCGAUUUUAAUUGCACGCACGCGGGCGCUCUUUUUUAAGUUUUUAUAUCGAAAUAGUCGAUAAAUUAAUUGUAGUGUUGUAUUAAUCUAUAAUUUGCAUUGUAUAUAUAAUUGAUUUUCGGUAUUGCUGUCUAUAUAUUGAAGAGAUCAUGUGCAUGUACAUAUAUUUGCGUAUUUUUUGCAGUUAUUUUUAUUUUAAUUAAAUAUAUAAUCUUUUAACAAAACACUGUAUUUUUUUUAAUAAAGAUAAUUUUGUAAAUCCAUUUUUAAUGGAAAUGCCACUCCUGUUUCUCUUCGAGAAACCCAUUAUGCAAUGUCAUCACAUUUUUUGAAAUAACCAAUAUUAAAUAUUUUAGGAGAUAUUUUGAAUGUAAAAUCGAUGGCAAAUGUUGGCAAAUGGAAAUGUGUAUGUUAGGUUUUCAAUUUAUAAUAUUAAUUAUUAACUUUUAAAGGGCCAGCAUUUUUUCAGUAAAAUUUACAAUUUUUUUCACGUUAAAUUUACACAUAUGUACAACCUACAUGUUCCAUACAAUUUUCGAGUUUGUUGCUGGAUCAUAUAUGAGCCAUCCUAGUCCGACACGGUAUGGCAUAUGUUAGAUAUUUUUUAAAUUGGAACUUUGAUGUUUCCAGGGGUUUUUGAGGUCGCUGAUCAUAAUUCCGAGGUCAGAUUAUCUAAAUUUUACACGAAAAAAGUUAUCACCGUGGUAAAUAAAAGCAAUUACAUUACUGUGUACAACUUUCCUUUGGUGUUAUCCAGAGCUAACAACGUAGAUGUAGAAAGUUUUGUAGCUUCUUCUUUAUUUGUUUUUUUUUGGUUUAUAAUUUUUUUAAUUUUUUACAGAGCUACAAAACUUUCUACGUCCACGUCAUCAGCUCUGGGUAACGCUAAAGGAAAGUUGUACACAAUAAUGUAAUUGCUAUUAUUUAUUAUGGUGACGCACACACACACACACAGACACAAAUAUAUAUAUAAACGUAAAUUUAACGAGAGAAUUUAAAAAAAUGCCAGCCCUCUAAAGAUUAACAAAGAUAUAUAUACAAAAUAAAAAUAAAUAAUAAUACCAUCUUUUUCUCUCUAUUGAUAUUAACAAGCAUUUACUUAUCUGAUCUUACCCAUUUAUAUAUAAGUGUACGACAAUUUGAGGAACAGUAGCUGCCUAACUAGAGUAAGUACCCUAGUAAUUCUAGAACGGAGCGGAUGUCAGCUAUCAUUUAACCUUUCCAUCUCUGACAGGCGCACUACUGCUCGCAUUACGAUACGCCACAUAGUAUUUCGAUACAGGAGACUGCAGGUCGAUGGAGGGAUAAACGGCCACGACAAAGGGCGCCUGCGUUAUCUCGGCAAGGCACGCUUCAAAUCGCCAAAACUUGAUAGUGGUGAUCACAUGACGGAUCUUGGUUCGCCAGGCACAUAUACUCGCCCAUCUCGCUGAAUAAUUCUGAAUCCAAUCGGAUGAAUUUAGCCUCUCGUAUUGCGAGGCGUACUUCGCCAAUGCGCUAGAUUGCGUACCGGAUCACGCACCUAGCGCACCACGCUAUGACACACAAACACACACACACACAUACACGUGCGCGCGCGCGCUAUGCUCGCACAUCACGUGCCUAUUGCCGGCGGACAGACAGUGUCCGCAUAUUUCAUGGUUCGCAUGCCAUAUAACGAAUGCUCGGUAGCAUUGUGAUUUAUGCUUUGUUCGAGAACCGCCAAAGGAUUACGUACUUCGGUUCUUGAUUAUCGCCGUGGACGAGCAGACAGCGAGCCCGCGGUAACGAACCGUUGCGAAUAAGGCUGCACAACAAAGCGAUAAUUGAACGAUAACACAAGAGGCAAAAUAGAAUAAUAAUGUGACCAUGAUUACGUAUAGCUGACAUACAUCGAAGUACGUACACGACGAAGGACAUAUUGAAAGGAAAGGUAAAGAUAGAAAUAAUUAAGGAGAAAACUUAAAGAAAGAUUAAAUAUAAUUUGUAAUAAGUGAGACUUUGGUUUUAGUCACAGAACACGUUUUUCAAGCGUAAAUCGUUUGACUUGACAACAUGAAUAGAGAACUUUCUCUUGCUGCUUAUAUAAAAGAAUAAAAAAGCACACAGUUGAAAUAACGAAGGCUAUCUUUUGAUAUACGACGCGCUAUUUCGACGUAUCUUGUUACUGCCUGCGGCUUAUGAUCUUGUUAUCCCAAAAUAUCCAGCAUUUGAGCACGUAAGAGAGACACACAUUGAACAGGACAUCUGCAAGCUGAGCUACGAGCUGAGGAAGUCGAGAUAAGAAGAGUGGACGAUUUAUUAAAUCAUUUCCCAGCGCUUUCAAGAUCGAUUGCACUUCGUUAUCUGUAAUAUAUAACGUGAAUUCUGUAUAUAUUCGAUAAAAUCAUAACAACGUCCAUGCGUAACGACUUCUAUUCUUCACUAUAUUCAACCACAAUCAAUGUUUAUGAGAGAUUGUGUACAGUGAAAGGUUAUUAAAUUUAACAAUAUGUACGUAUAAAAUUAGUUUCACAUGAUCACGUACCGAUAAUUAAAGUUUUAAUAACAAAAAAAUAUACACACGAAAUAUACUAAAAAAUUAUAUCGGUCUCUUUUGAUGAAAAUUUAAAAAAAAGUAUUUAUUAAUUUCGUAUACAUCGAAUUUUCGUCCAUAUUUUAUUUCGAAUAGAAACGUAAAAAUGAUUAAUUUAAAAAUUAUAAAAAAUAUUCAAACAUUUAAAUAAAACAGAACGUAACUUUAAUAACAAGUAGUUUAUUAAAUUUAAAAUAAAAGUCUAAAAAUAAAAGUAUUAAAAAAAAAUACUACGAAGAUAAUUAGAUAAAAGGGCAAACACUUUAAAUAGAAACACAAAUUCACGCGGUCGUUAUCAACAUAGUGCUAAAGAAGCUAAACGUAUUUAUCAGCGGCAGAAGGAGUUCGAUGUACCGUCAAGAUUGGCGCGACUCGAGAGAUUCCAUUUCGAUCAUGCUUAGAAAAAGUUCAGCAGGUCUACGACACCCUAUAUCGCCACGAAACGGAAAUCGUGGUAAAUUCCUGGAGGUAAUUUUCCUUGAGGUGACCAGGUUCAAGCACGUACGGCCGCAUACAAUCGUCCACACGUACACGUUCACUGCGGGGACAUAUCGGUCCUCCACGUGAACGUCCAUAUAACUACCAACGCCAGCAGCACCAUUCAUGGAUGACCACUAACAGAAAUCUCAUCCUGCGGAUAGAACUCAUCGUGAAUUCACCGGGAUUUUCAAUGAUUUAAUUCACUCUUUUUAAUCUAUUCCCGGUUUCAUCCUUUUAUCGAGCUAAAUCCCUGUAAGCUCUUUUAAUUUUUGCGAAACGAAAUAAUGUAGGAAACAGUAGAACUUCAGAAAAGAUAAUAGAAGUUUACGAUUUACGGAAGAAAAUAAUAGAAGUUUACGAUAUGCGGAGUGCAAGAGCGAAAAACAAGUUACGGAUGGCUGGACUUGAUAUCGUUCUAACUGCAAAAUUUCUUUUACUUUUUAAACGUAAUUGCUAAACGCAAUAGCCUCUAAAAGAAAA